GACGAACGCUGGCGGCGUGCCUAAUACAUGCAAGUAGAACGCUGAAGAGAGGAGCUUGCUCUUCUUGGAUGAGUUGCGGACGGGUGAGUAACGCGUAGUUAACCUGCCUUGUAGCGGGGGAUAACUAUUGGAAACGAUAGCUAAUACCGCAUAACAAUGGAUGACACAUGUCAUUUAUGUGAAAGGGGCAAUUGCUCCACUACAAGAUGGACCUGCGUUGUAUUAGCUAGUAGGUGAGGUAAUGGCUCACCUAGACGACGAUACGUAGCCGACCUGAGAGGGUGAUAGGCAUAGCUGGGCUUGGGACACGGCCCAGCACACUGCGAGUGGCAGCAGGAGGGGACCUUCGGCAAUGGGAGCAACCCUGAACGAGCGACGACGCGUGAGAGACGAAGGUUUUCGGAUCGUAAAGCUCUGUUGUAAGUCAAGAACGGGUGUGAGAGUGGAAAGUUCACAUUGUGACGGUAGCUUAAGAGAAAGCGACGGCUAACUACGUG
rnacentral:rRNA from 1 species